rnacentral:lncRNA from 1 species
GCUGCUGUUGGCGGUGAUGAUGACGGUGGUGGAUGAUGAUGAUGACGAUGAUGGUGAUGAAGAUCUCGACGAUCGACAAGGGGGCGACGACGAUGAUGAUGGUGAUUAUAGGGUCAUUAUUCAUUAGGCACAUUGAGGGGACAAAAAGGGGCUCCAUGGAUGUUGUCGUAGGGAAAGGGUUGCAAAGAAAACCAAAGAUGUCACCUUUUCCUCAUCAGGGGCCGGUUAGGCACAUUGAGGGGACAAAAAGGGGCUCCAUGGAUGUUGUCGUAGGGAAAGGGUUGCAAAGAAAACCAAAGAUGUCACCUUUUCCUCAUCAGGCCCCGGCCCCGGCCCCGGCCCCUAAUUAGCAAUUCAGCUAACUAACUAAGUAAUUAGUUCAUGGAAGCGUGCACCAAGCCGUGAACUCUAAUCCUCUUGCAAAGUGGUAUCUCACGAGAGCUACGUAUCUCUUUGUUAUUCCUUGGAAAUUUCCCGCCUCAUCGUUCCGGCCCACACGCUUCAUCUUCCUGGCCAUCCUCCUCCCACAAGCCACAUCAAAAGAGGAAGGAUGGAAAUCCCUCUGAAAUGAACUCGUACCCACCACGAUUCUUCUCCGGUCCUCCUCGAAUCUAUUGACAUUGCAAUUUCCCUAUUCAAAUUGACAUUGUCCAAGUAUUAUUUGUGUUCCUCCAUGGAAGUCAUUCUUGUUAUAAUAAUUGACUUUAUACCUAGAGCAUGAUUCUAGAUUUUGCACCGGGUCACAAAUAUCACCAGG